GCAAUUGAGAGUGAAAAAGAGCGGACAGUGGUCAUUUCUGAUCUGCAUAACGUUUCACAUCGGUUGAAAAAAGUUGCCCUAAGGUAAA
rnacentral:lncRNA from 1 species